rnacentral:rRNA from 1 species
UCGGGGGAAUGAGUGGUGACACGAGACGGCCAAAGACGGUGGCGGAAGGCGUAGGAGGAGUUUUCUNUUCUUCUUAAGGGNGUUGUGNCUGGAUGGUUUAGCCGGCGAAGGGCAGUAAAACCCGAAGAGCGUGCCCCUAGUUGGUGCGUCUACGCAUCUCCGACAUCCCGUGAAAAUUUGGUUUAUUUAUGUUAUUCCNNNNCCCGUAC